AAAGGUGCAUGAGUGGUGUUUGGUUUGUUACGGGUGGUUGGCUCUUUGCUUGCGCAACAACUUCCACCUGGCAUACCUCUUCAGUUUUGUGUCUAUGCUUGUAUCGCAUUGAAUGCACGGUGGGUUUCUUGUGUUGCAUGCCUAAUUGAUGGUAUCUUUUGACGAAUUGAUGUCUAUUUUCGUCUUGUGUUGCAAAUGCGAUGCGAGAUGAACCUUAAAGUAGCCUUUGUGAUCCACUCUUUUGAUGCACACGCAUCGAUUUUGUGGUUCAUUGAGUGUUUGCUUGGUCUCAUGGAUAUGGAACCUUGUGUGGGCAUGUGAUCUUUUAGUAGGUCCUUGUUUGCCCUAGUUAAGCUUUUCAAAUACGAUUUCCU
rnacentral:misc_RNA from 1 species